rnacentral:rRNA from 1 species
AGUGAACGCUGGCGGUAGGCCUAACACAUGCAAGUCGAACGGCAGCACAGUAAGAGCUUGCUCUUACGGGUGGCGAGUGGCGGACGGGUGAGGAAUACAUCGGAAUCUACUUUUUCGUGGGGGAUAACGUAGGGAAACUUACGCUAAUACCGCAUACGACCUACGGGUGAAAGCAGGGGAUCUUCGGACCUUGCGCGAUUGAAUGAGCCGAUGUCGGAUUAGCUAGUUGGCGGGGUAAAGGCCCACCAAGGCGACGAUCCGUAGCUGGUCUGAGAGGAUGAUCAGCGACACGAGAACUGGAACACGGUCCAGACGCCUACGGGAGGCAGCAGUGGGGAAUAUUGGACAAUAGGCGCAAGCCUGAUCCAGCCAUACCGAGUGUGUGAAGAAGGCCUUCGGGGUGUAAAGACCUUUUGUUGGGAAAGAAAAGCAGCAGGUUAAUACCCCGCUGUUCUGACGGUAACCAAAGAAUAAGCACCGGCUAACUUCGUG